rnacentral:rRNA from 1 species
GAUGAACGCUGGCGGCGUGCUUAACACAUGCAAGUCGAACGAAGCAUUUAGGACAGAUUACUUCGGUUUGAAGUUCUUUAUGACUGAGUGGCGGACGGGUGAGUAACGCGUGGGUAACCUGCCUUGUACUGGGGGAUAGCAGCUGGAAACGGCUGGUAAUACCGCAUAAGCGCACAAUGUUGCAUGACAUGGUGUGAAAAACUCCGGUGGUAUAAGAUGGACCCGCGUCUGAUUAGCUAGUUGGUGAGAUAACAGCCCACCAAGGCGACGAUCAGUAGCCGACCUGAGAGGGUGACCGGCCACAUUGGGACUGAGACACGGCCCAGACUCCUACGGGAGUCAGCAGUGGGGAAUAUUGCACAAUGGAGGAAACUCUGAUGCAGCGACGCCGCGUGAGUGAAGAAGUAAUUCGUUAUGUAAAGCUCUAUCAGCAGGGAAGAUAGUGACGGUACCUGACUAAGAAGCUCCGGCUAAAUACGU